CCUACGGGGGGCAGCAGUAGGGAAUAUUGCUCAAUGGGGGAAACCCUGAAGCAGCAACGCCGCGUGGAGGAUGAAGGUUUUCGGAUUGUAAACUCCUUUUGUUAGAGAAGAUAAUGACGGUAUCUAACGAAUAAGCACCGGCUAACUCCGUGCCAGCAGCCGCGGUAAUACGGAGGGUGCAAGCGUUACUCGGAAGCACUGGGCGUAAAGGGCGCGUAGGCGGGAUAGCAAGUCAGAUGUGAAAGCCUAUGGCUUAACCGUAGAACUGCAUUUGAAACUGUUAUUCUAGAGUAUGGGAGAGGUAGGUGGAAUUCUUGGUGUAGGGGUAAAAUCCGUAGAGAUCAAGAGGAAUACUCAUUGCGAAGGCGACCUGCUAGAACAUAACUGACGCUGAGGCGCGAAAGCGUGGGGAGCAAACAGGAUUAGAUACCCGUGUAGUC
rnacentral:rRNA from 1 species